AGAAGCAGAAACAAAUUUUUGCGAAAUCAACCGCAUUUAUUUCAGACAUUUUGUGCAAAUUGUUGUAUUUUUGGUACGAAAGUGCAUAAUUUAUUGUGUAAGCAAUGAGUAAAUUCUUUUUGUGAUCGGAAUAUCAGUCGCGAAAACACGCAAAUGUUGAAAAUUCACAAAAAAAAAACCGAAAUUGUAUAACAAAGCAGAAGUUGUAGAAAGCAAAAUUUGCGUUCGCAAGUAUUUUUGUAAUGAAAAUUUUAGCCAACAUUGCGUGAAGGCUGCAAUGGUUUGAAAGUUUAA